CCUACGGGGGGCUGCAGUGGGGAAUUUUGGACAAUGGGCGCAAGCCUGAUCCAGCCAUUCCGCGUGAGUGAAGAAGGCCUUCGGGUUGUAAAGCUCUUUCGCAAGGGAAGAAAACUUAUCCUCUAACAUAGGAUGAGGUUGACGGUACCUUGAUAAGAAGCACCGGCUAACUACGUGCCAGCAGCCGCGGUAAUACGUAGGGUGCGAGCGUUCAUCGGGCGUACUCGGGGUAUUUUGUGAGCCAGAUGUGAAAUCCCCGAGCUCAACUUGGGAACUGCGUUUGAAACUACAAGACUAGAAUAGGUCAGAGGGUGGUAGAAUUCCACGUGUAGCAGUGAAAUGCGUAGAGAUGUGGGGGAAUAUCAAUGGCGAAGGCAGCCCCCUGGGAUCAUAUUGACGCUCAUGCACGAAAGCGUGGGGAGCAAACAGGAUUAGAUACCCUAGUAGUC
rnacentral:rRNA from 1 species